AUGCAAGAGGAAGAGGAGGGGAAGAGAGGGACAGAUGGAUUCCUGAGGAGGGGAUUCAGAUCCUGUCGCAGAGUUGGAUGCUGUGUACUCGGCAGUCCAACGGUUCAUGGAGUUCAUAAGGUCAUGUGUUCAGCAAAGAAGAAAAACGAAGAGGAAAGUGAGGAUGUGUGUUUUCCUUUGUGGGAUGGGCUGUGCGCUACUGACUCCGCCUUAUCCGGGCUUCCCUGGACCAAUGACUUUAAAACAAUGAUGAAUGGGUGUGGACAUUUGACUCAUUGAUGAUAAGUCAGUUCAAAAAUAAAUUAAGAUAAUCAAUUGUUGCUUUCUUGGAAAAGAUAUAGGACACAGACCAAAAAAAAAAGCUUUCAAUAUUUUUUUGUAACUUGUCAAGUUUGCUGUUGACCAGACAAAUAUCCUUGGAGUGCAGAGGAGCUAACAGCCCCUUGUGGUUACCUAGAGAACUGACGUUGACUCAGGUUACAUUUAUUUUUAGAUGAGCUUCAGGUGGAAAACUGAACAUGUUGCAGUUCAAAAUGGUUCUGUCUCCAACUCCAUCAAUGCAAUAGAAGUUGGUUAUUUAAAUCCUGUCUUCUGUGGAGGAGAUGUAAUUUUAACUUUCAGCUUUAUCAUGUCUAGUUUAGCGCUAGCAGCACGACUAUCCAUAAAAUAGAAGACAGAUUUUGGAAUUCAAAGUUUUUUUUUGAACAGAUGUUUUUUUCAAGAAUUAUAAAAUACUAUAAUUCUCUCCCAUAUCUGCAUGCAUGUGGAUUUGUGCUAGUUCCGCACUAUACCCUCAAAUGUUUCCAAUGUCACGCUCCAUCAAAUUACUGAUGCAUGCCGUUGCCACAGCAACCUCGGAUGAUUCUGUGAUGCUGUCUAGACUAACAAAUCAAAUUUUGUCAAUUUUGAACAACAGUGCAGACAGUCCUUUCUUCAAGAUUGAAUUUGUCUUCCAUCUAACUAAAGCUACAAUCUUUUCUCAAGGGCAUCCUACUGACAGUUGCUUGCUGACCAUCGUGCUGAUGCUUUAAAGAAACAGAAAAACAGUAUUAAAAAGAAAUGUAUGACCUGCUCUUCUGAACAUACUUGAAGUGUGCAACCUUCAAAACCAAAUGUUACAUGUGACUGUCCAUAACAGUUUUAAAAACCCAUUUAUUAAGCAUUCCCAGUGGUCUUUUAAUUAUGAUUAGGCCGUUUUAAGUCAAAUCUUAAAGCCUGUUAUUUUCUAGGAUAUAGUUUCUGCAGAGCAGCAGUAGCUCAUUAGAAAUUCACCUCUGAGUUGAGGGUGGGACUGUUGGCGUACCGUUGGAGUAAGUCUGUGCUCAUUUCCCAUCAUCCAUUUGUUUACAGCCCUUCAUCCCCCCAACCUAACACUACUGGUGCAACAAAAAUAACGAGCAAUGUAAACAUUACUCUGCUGUUCAUGUUCGAGCCAAACCCCAGCUUGAAUGAGGAAAUCAAAGAUAUAUAUCGAUCUAUUUGUCUACAAGUGGAUGCAUUAAAAUGGAGCUGAGCGUAUAAUUUGUGUCCCCAGGAUUGUAAUUUUAAUUUUAUUGUUCCCUAUAUGUUGUUCACCAUCAGAGAAAUGCUAAAAAAAAAAAAAAGGUUAAGAAAACCAUUUUCAUCAAAGUCAGAAUUUAAAAUUGAAUUCUAAUAUUUAUUGAUCACAUUAAGAAACAUAUUUUGGGGAAUUACACAAACACUAAAAUAAUCAGAAAACAAAACUUAUCUAAAUCUAAAUAAUAUAACCAAAAAAAAAAGGCAAUGACAAGGAAUAGGUUAAGGUUAUAAAAAGAUCUCUUAAAUAUCAUCAUGAACUUGUAAGUGGAUACGUUUUCAUACAGCCUUUCUAUUCAGCUGACCAAUGGUGAACAUUCAUUUGAAGUCAUGUAUGUGUCCCUUAACACAUCUCAGACCUACAUCCACUCCACUUUUAGCGCAGGUCUAAUAACUCCUAGUUCCUGAGGGUAAUGGCAGACUCUUUGCCAGUUAGAUGUGAUCCAGUGUGUGUCAUGUGUGGCUGUCAUUUACUGCUGAAUCACAACGGUAAAUUUUUGAGACAAGACAAGAAGGUAAGGGGAAAAUGUAACCUCUUUUAUGAAAAAAAUGACAGAUUUUAACACUUUUUUGUUAUGUUGGAUACAUUACAAUAUUGAAAUGCUUCAUAUUGGGUGUUUUUUCUAAAUCGCCAUCAUAAUGGCCAUUUAACUUUUGAUGAUGGAGCAACCUUCUAAAUAGAAAUUUUAGGAAAUGAGUUAUUGAUCUUUUGCAUAAAGGUUAAAAUAAACAGUCGUUAUGAUGUGCAUAAAGAAAAUCAAGUAAAUUGAGCAAUCUUACACCACUUUGUUUCAUAGCUAAAAUGGUAAAAUAAUUAUUUCUAUGGUUUUUAUGUAUUUAAUUUGGUAAUAAAAUGCAAACAGAAGAAUUAUUAAUAAUUUACUACAUCAACUUUAAACUAUUAAAUGAACAUUUACGCGUUCUCAGAAAUCACUGUUUUACCAAAACUUUUGCAAACAACUGUGAGCUAAAAUCUGCUGUUUUGUGUAGCAGGUUGUCUUUUACUCACCAAUAACCAAAGACAGCACUGUGUUGUUUUCCUGGGUGUAAAACUUGGCAUGGCAGCCUCUCACAAUCAGCAAAUGAGCAAUCUGGACCUGUGGCUUGAGUGAAGGGGAGUGGGCAGUACCAGUGAGAGGAGAACUGGAAUGCUAGAUGGAGUGGGGCAGUUCAGUAGUCGUGCUUACUUUACUCUGUGGGUUAAUUACCAUACUGACAGACUGAUUACUGUGAGUGACAUUGGAAGGGGAUCUGGCAGCAGCUGGACUCCUUAACCUUCCAAUAGUGCAAGUUUGUGUGAGAAAGUGAGACUGCAACAGGGAACUGAAAAGGGAGGAACGGUUUUGUGAAUAAGAAAUGAUUUAAAAUAAAAGGACUUGAGCGAUUUCACCCCUCAGUGGAUGCAUUUUGCUGCCAGUCCGACUGUGGAAUGCAUCUCUCUUUCUGUGUGUGUUGCUGUGUGUGUGCGUGCAUGAGUGUGUGUUGGACACCUGGAGUUUGAAUAAAGUGUUUAUCCAUAUACUUUUCAGGUUCAGGGUCAGUGAAAAGGUCCUUUGGGCCACAGCAGAUGAAAAACAAACACAUCAACAGACAAGCCAUCCUUUUCACUUCGGCGAGGGUCUGGCUAUGAUCACCACUGCAGUAAUUAUAAUUGCUGUGCGCCACACUGCAGAAGCAGCAUGCUAACAAGGUAAAUGAUAUCUCUCAAGACAUGGAUGACAAUUAGUGCUUAUUUAGGUACUUAAAGACCCACUCUGAAGGAAAUUGUGUUUUUGACUUGUUUUUGUUGCAUUUUUCUCAUGAUGGAGGACAUAUGUAAAGAAAAUUAAGCUUAAAACUGCAUUUUUAAGUAUUUCUUUAUUCCAAUUGAUAUGAAUCAGGCGCAGAAAAAAAUCCAGUUCGAAAAAGUUUGUAUAUCUGUCAUGGGUGCUACAAUCAACAGUUUACGAACUCCCUGCUCCACUCCAUUCCGAUGCAUCCCCUUUUAGACGACUAGAUCCUGUCAAUUUCCAUGCGGGAACCUCCCAAAUGGAUAAAUAAAGUUGUCUAUCUAUCUAUCUAUCUAUCUAUCUAUCUAUCUAUCUAUCUAUCUAUCUAUCUAUCUAUCUAUCUAUCUAUCUAUCUAUCUAGAUCCAUGCACAUCUUUGUUUUCCUCGUCCAAGCUGAUGAUUGGAGUGGUUCUUUGAACAAAUAGUCAAACUUUUUCCUGACCCACUA
ensembl:lncRNA